CAGCCGCCACGGUAAAACGUAGGGUGCAAGCGUCAAUCGGAAUUACUGGGCGUAAAGCGUGCGCAGGCGGUUAUAUAAGACAGAUGUGAAAUCCCCGGGCUCAACCUGGGAACUGCAUUUGUGACUGUAUAGCUAGAGUACGGCAGAGGGGGAUGGAAUUCCGCGUGUAGCAGUGAAAUGCGUAGAUAUGCGGAGGAACACCGAUGGCGAAGGCAAUCCCCUGGGCCUGUACUGACGCUCAUGCACGAAAGCGUGGGGAGCAAACAGGAUUAGAUACCCGAGUAGUCCCUGUCUCUUAUAC
rnacentral:rRNA from 1 species